rnacentral:lncRNA from 1 species
GGAAGUUUUAUUUAAUAAAGUAUACAGUUAACUGGGAGACCUAAAAGUUUGUUUCAUAAAAAAAUUGGAGUGGAAAAAAAGUCCAACUGUAAGACCCAACAAAAGGAACUUUGGUAUCCUUCAGGGGAAUCUGUAGGAAGAGACAGUGCUAUCAGAGACUGCUGGCAAAAUGAUGGAAUUUCAUUGAUUUGCCAAGGCCAGUGUGAGGAGUUCAUGCCAUGACCCCAGAGGUCUUCCUUAGUUUUUGGAAUUUACUGUUCAUAUGGAGAACUAGCAAGAAAAAUGGUUGGAGGCACCUUAAAGAUCAUCAUGUUCCAACCCUCUGCCAUGGCAUAUUUGUGGGGCAAGUCUAUAGGAAAUGCACCAUUCUUAAAGAGACGGCCCUCUACUUCCCAGCUGUGGUAAUGCUACCACUCUCAGGAAGCAUAUUUCUGGACAAAACAAGAACAAGCACCGUGUUUUCAUUCCAGGGUCUUAUAAAUCAACAGAAAUAACAGACAUUGGAAGGCACGGAAUGUGGACAGUUUGUCUUUUUGGUUUUUUCUUUUUUUUUUGCAUUUUACAG